rnacentral:rRNA from 1 species
UGAGGAAUAUUGGUCAAUGGGCGAGAGCCUGAACCAGCCAAGUAGCGUGCAGGAUGACGGCCCUAUGGGUUGUAAACUGCUUUUAUAUGGGAAUAAAGUGAGGGACGUGUCCCUUAUUGCAUGUACCAUUCGAAUAAGGACCGGCUAAUUCCGUGCCAGCAGCCGCGGUAAUACGGAAGGUCCAGGCGUUAUCCGGAUUUAUUGGGUUUAAAGGGAGCGUAGGCUGUUUGUUAAGCGUGUUGUGAAAUGUAAGAGCUCAACUUUUAGAUUGCAGCGCGAACUGGCAGACUUGAGUGAGCACAAAGUAGGCGGAAUUCAUGGUGUAGCGGUGAAAUGCUUAGAUAUCAUGACGAAAUCCGAUUGCGAAGGCAGCUUACGGGAGCGCAACUGACGCUAAAGCUCGAAGGUGCGGGUAUCGAACAGG